rnacentral:rRNA from 1 species
AACGAACGCUGGCGGCAGGCCUAACACAUGCAAGUCGAGCGGACACUUCGGGGUUAGCGGCGGACGGGUGAGUAACGCGUGGGAAUAUGCCCUUCUCUACGGAAUCGUCCUGGGAAACUGGGGGUAAUACCGCAUACGCUCUUUGGGGGUAAGAUCUAUCGGGGAAGGAUUAGCCCGCGUUGGAUUGGGUAGUUGGUGGGGUAAUGGCCUACCAAGCCGACGAUCCAUAGCUGGUUUGAGAGGAUGAUCAGCCACACUGGGACUGAGACACGGCCCAGACUCCGACGGGAAGCAGCAGUGGGGAAUCUUAGACAAUGGGGGCAACCCUGAUCUAGCCAUGCCGCGUGAGUGAUGAAGGCCUUAGGGUUGUAAAGCUCUUUCAGCUGGGAAGAUAAUGACGGUACCGGCAGAAGAAGCCCCGGCUAACUCCGUG